UACCAAGUGGGUCCGUCACUCAUACCGGCCGAGGACAUCCCAGUAUCAGGCACGAUUCGCUUAUGCGUUCUAAAUUUUUAUUUGUCACAAUCGUCUUGGCGAUUUUUUUCCUUUUUCUUUUUUUAUCAGAUUUGCUGCUGCAGGGCGAUGAAGCUGAUUAUAUCCACGCUCUCACUCUCUCCGGUGGCAUAAUGCGUAAACGGAUAGAGAUGGUUCUUACCAUUGACCUUUUGUGUGUGCGCGCGCGCGUGUGGUGCUUUCAUUGAACAAAACAUAGUUCAAUAUGUCAGCGCAGAAGC
rnacentral:lncRNA from 1 species